CACGCCGUAAACGAUGGAUACUAGCUGUUGGGCGCAAGUUCAGUGGCUAAGCGAAAGUGAUAAGUAUCCCACCUGGGGAGUACGUUCGCAAGAAUGAAACUCAAAGGAAUUGACGGGGGCCCGCACAAGCGGUGGAGCAUGUGGUUUAAUUCGAUGAUACGCGAGGAACCUUACCAGGGCUUAAAUGUAGAUUGACAGGUCUGGAAACAGAUUUUUCUUCGGACAAUUUACAAGGUGC
rnacentral:rRNA from 1 species